rnacentral:rRNA from 1 species
AUUGAACGCUGGCGGCAUGCUUUACACAUGCAAGUCGAACGGCAGCGCGGGCUUCGGCCUGGCGGCGAGUGGCGAACGGGUGAGUAAUGCAUCGGAACGUGCCCAGUAGUGGGGGAUAGCCCGGCGAAAGCCGGAUUAAUACCGCAUACGACCUGAGGGUGCAAGCGGGGGACCGAAAGGCCUCGCGCUAUUGGAGCGGCCGAUGUCGGGCUGGCUAGUUGGUGGGGUAAAGGCUUACCAAGGCGACGAUCCGUAGCUGGUCUGAGAGGACGACCAGCCACACUGGGACUGAGACACGGCCCAGACUCCUGCGGGAGGCAGCAGUGGGGAAUUGUGGACAAUGGGGGCAACCCUGAUCCAGCCAUGCCGCGUGCGGGAAGAAGGCCUUCGGGUUGUAAACCGCUUUUGUUCGGGAAGAAAUCCUCUGGGCUAAUACCCCGGGGGGAUGACGGUACCGGAAGAAUAAGCACCGGCUAACUACGUG